UGUGGUAACCCAAUCACAAAAGAACUCAAAUGAUAUGUACUCACUGAUAAGUGGAUAUUAUGCCAGAAACUUAGAAUAUCCAAGAUACAAGAUACAAUUUGCAAAACACAUGAAACUCAAAUAGAACGAAGAUGAAAGUGUGGACACUUUGCUCCUUCUUUGAAUUGGGAACAAAACAACCAUGGAAGGAGUUAGAGAGACAAAGAUUGGAGCUGAGAUGAAAAGAUGGACCAUGUAGAGACUGCCAUACUCUGGGAUUCAUCCUAUAAUCAGCCUCCAAACCCUGACACCAUUACACACACUAGCAAGAUUUUGCUUAAAGGACCCUGAUAUAGCUGCCUACUGUGAGACUAUGCUGGGGCCUAGCAAACACAGAAGUGGUUGCUCACAGUCACCUAUUGGAUGGAUCACAAGGCCCUCAAUGGAGGAGCUAGAGAAAGUACCCAAGGACCUAAUGGGGUCUGCAAUCCUAUAGGUGGAACAACAAUAUGAACUACCAGUACCCCCCGAGCUCAUGUCUCUAGCUACAUAUGCAUCAGAAGAUGGCGUAGUAGGCCAUCAGUCGAAAGAGAGGCCCAUUGGUCUUGCAAACUUUAUAUACCUCAGUACAGAGGAAUGUCAGGGCCAAGAAAUAGAAGGAGUCAUUAAUAGUCUCCCAGCCAAAAAAUGCCCAGGACCAGAUGGGUUUAGUGCAGAGUUCUACUAGACCUUCAAAGAAGAUCUAAUUCCAGUUCUGCACAAACUAUUCCACAAAAUAGAAGUAGAGGGAACUCUACCCAACUCAUUCAAUGAAGCCACAAUUACUCUGAUAUCUAAACCACAGAAAGAUCCAACAAAGAUAGAGAACUUCAGACCAAUUUCCCUUAUGAAUAUCGAGGCAAAAAUACUCAAUAAAAUUCUUGCUAAGCGAAUCCAAGAACACAUUAAAGCAAUCAUCCAUCCUGACCAAGUAGGUUUUAUUCCAGGGAUGCAGGAAUGGUUUAAUAUAUGAAAAUCCAUCAAUGUAAUCCAUUAUAUAAACAAACUCAAAGACAAAAACCACAUGAUCAUCUGGUUAGAUGCGGAAAAAGCAUUCAACAAGAUCCAAAACCCAUUAAUGAUAAAAGUUUGGAAAGAUCAGGAAUUCAAGGCCCAUACCUAAAGAUGAUAAAAGCAAUCUACAGCAAACCAGUAGCCAACAUCAAAGUAAAUGGUGAUAAGCUUGAAGCAAUCCCACUAAAAUCAGGGACUAGACAAGGCUGUCCACUUUCUCCCUACCUAUUUAACAUAGUACUUGAAAUCGUAGCCAGAGCAAUUCUACAACAAAAGGAGAUCAAGGGGAUACAAAUUGGGAAAAAUGAAGUCAAAAUAUCACUUUUUACAGAUGAUAUGAUAGUAUAUAUAAGUGACCCUAAUAAUUCCACCAGAGAACUCCUAAACCUGAUAAACAGCUUCUGUGAAGUAGCUGGAUAUAAAAUUAACUCAAACAAGCCAAUGGCCUUUCUCUACACAAAGAAUAAACAGGCUGAGAAAGAAAUUAGGGAAACAACACCCUUCUCAAUAGUCACAAAUAACAUAAAAUAUCUUGGUGUGACUCUAAGGAAGUGAAAGAUCUGUAUGACAAAAACUUCAAGUCUCUGAAGAAAGAAAUUAAAGAAGAUCUCAUAAGAUGGAAAGAUCUCCCAUGCUCAUGGAUUGGCAGGAUCAACACUGUAAAAAUGGCUAUCUUGCCAAAAGCAAUCUACAGAUUCAAUGCAAUCUCCAUCAAAAUUCCAACUCAAUUCUUCAACGAAUUAGAAAGAGCAAUCUGCAAAUUCAUCUGGAUUAAGAAAAAAAACUAGGAUAGCAAAAACUCUUUUCAAGGAUAAUAGUACCUCUGGUGGAAUCACCAUGCCUGACCUAAAGCUUUACUACAGAGCAAUUGUGACAAAAAUUGUAUGGUACUGGUAUAGUGACAGACAACUAGACCAAUGGAAUAGAAUUGAAGACCCAGAAAUGAACCCAUACACCUAUGGUCACUUGAUCUUUGACAAGGGAGCUAAAACUAUCCAGUGGAAGAAAGACCGCAUUUUCAACAAAUGGUGCUGGCACAGCUGGUUGUUAUCAUGUAGAAGAAUGCAAAUAGAUCCAGUCCUAUCUCCUUGUACUAAGGUCAAAUCUAAGUGGAUCAAGGAACUCCACAUAAAACCAGAGGCACUGAAACUUAUAGAGGAGAAAGUGGGUAAAAGCCUUGAAUAUAUGGGCACAGGGGAAAAAUUCCUGAAUAGAACAGAAAUGGCUUGUGGUGUAAGAUCAAGGAUUGACAAAUGGGACCUCAUGAAACUGCAAUGCUUCUGCAAGGCAAAAGACAGCCUCAAUAAGACAAAAAAGCAACCAACAGAUUGGGAAAGGAUCUUUACCUAUCCCAAAUCGGAUAGGGGACUAAUAUCCAAUAUAUAU
rnacentral:lncRNA from 1 species